rnacentral:lncRNA from 1 species
UUACUGACGUGUGCGUUGUCUUACGGGCUCGUAAUGCUGUACGAAACGUAGAUGCAGUAUUUAGUAAACGAUC